rnacentral:rRNA from 1 species
GGAUACUUAGUACGGCGAGUGAAGCGGUAAAAGCUCAAAUUUGAAAUCUGGUACUUUCAGUGCCCGAGUUGUAAUUUGUAGAAUUUGUCUUUGAUUAGGUCCUUGUCUAUGUUCCUUGGAACAGGACGUCAUAGAGGGUGAGAAUCCCGUUUGGCGAGGAUACCUUUUCUCUGUAAGACUUUUUCGAAGAGUCGAGUUGUUUGGGAAUGCAGCUCAAAGUGGGUGGUAAAUUCCAUCUAAAGCUAAAUAUUGGCGAGAGACCGAUAGCGAACAAGUACAGUGAUGGAAAGAUGAAAAGAACUUUGAAAAGAGAGUGAAAAAGUACGUGAAAUUGUUGAAAGGGAAGGGCAUUUGAUCAGACAUGGUGUUUUUUGCAUGCACUCGCCUCUCGUGGGCUUGGGCCUCUCAAAAAUUUCACUGGGCCAACAUCAAUUCUGGCAGCAGGAUAAAUCAUUAAGAAUGUAGCUACUUCGGUAGUGUUAUAGCUUUUUGGAAUACUGUUAGCCGGGAUUGAGGACUGCGCUUCGGCAAGGAUGUUGGCAUAAUGGUUAAAUGCCGCCCGUCUUGAAACACGGACCA